rnacentral:lncRNA from 10 species
CAACUUUAUUGGAUUGAAGGAUGCUUAGAUAGCUGAUAAAGUAUUGUUUCUGGGUGUGUCUGUGAAGGUGUUGCCAGAGGAGAUUGACAGUUGAGUCAGUGGACUGAGAAAGGAAGACCUACCCUCAAUGUGGGUGGGCACCAUCCAAUCUGCUGCCAGCACAGCCAGAACACAGUAGGCGGAAGAAGGUGGGAUAGGCUGGCUUGAUGAGCCUUCUGACUUUCACCUUUCUCCCCUGCUGGAUGCAUCCAUCCAUCUCUCCCUCCUGCCUUCAGACAUCAGACUCCAGCUUCUUUGGCCUUUGGACUCUUAGACUUACACUAGUGGUUUGCUGGGGGCUUUCCGGCCUUUGGCCACAGACUGAAGGCUGCAUCGUCAGCUUCCCUACCUUUGAAGAUUUUGGACUUUGACUGAGUCACUAUUGGCUUCUUUCUUCCUCAGCUUGCAGACGGCCUAUCAUGGGACUUCACCUUGUGAUCAAGAUGCAUUUGGAGAAAAUGGUUGAUUCCCUUUAAGGAAUCAAGGUUAGCCUGCAGAGCUAAUAAAAGCCCCUUGGGAAAACUUGCCUGAUACCUUGUCUACACACUCUCUGUACAGGAUUGCUAAUCUGUGGUUGUUUUGGGGUGAGAUAAACAUUUAAAUUGGUGAACUUUGAGAGGAAAAUUAGAAGACAAGUAUCCUCAUUUCCACCUGGAUCCAGUCUUUCUUCCUUAUUACUUUUAUUAACAAUAUCAGUUAAGGUUUAUAUGGAUGUCUUGCUUUGGCCUGUACAAAAAACUACUUUGUAUAUGCCUUAUUUUAUUAAUUUUGCUUCUGAAUUUCAUCAAAUUCUCUGAUCAUAACUCUAUAUUCUUGUAAGGAAUGCUCAGAAUUAUACUAUUUCACUCCAAAUUUUAUUAUUAUUGAGACGAAACUGGGUAUAGAAAGUUGUGGGACCAGUUUGUAAUUUAUUGCUUUAAAAUUUGGUCAAGCCACUCAAAUUCUCUAGCUGUACCUAUGAAAUAGCUUUAAUAUUUCAAUCCCCUGCAUUUUCUUUGAAUAAUAUGGAGUUUGAAUUGAAGUGGUCCUGAAUUUGAGUGCUGCAUAUGCUACUUUUGAGAUAUGUGAUCUUGAGCAAGUUGCUUAAUCACAUUAAACCUCAAUUCUCUCAUCUUUAAAAUAGAAAAAAUAAUAGCUACUUUACAGUGUUGAGAAAAGAAUAAGAUGAAACAGUUUAUUAAAAACAUAGAAGAGUGCUUAAGACAUAAUAAAGUCUACAUAAAUUGUGCCUAUUGUUAUUACUAAUAAAAAAAAAAGAAAUUCUACGUGUCAGGAAUUUGAACAAAUUACAGCUGGAUUUGCAUAUUUCUUCCACAAGAUGUAUGUGGUCCCAUCUGAUAAUAGGGAAUUGGUUGGUAACUGGAAUCUUCUUGGAAACCUCUUAAAUCACAGAUCUUGCACUUGUACUGGGAUAAUCUGGAGUGUGUGCUCCUCUGAGUUUGUUGACCAAAUCACCUACAGGUGAACUCUCCAUAUAUGUAUUUUCCUAGUCAAUUCCUACACUGACCUCAAGCAAACACUGAUCAGCUUUCUGUCAUAAUAGAUGCGAUUUACUUUUUUAGAAUUUAAUAAAACUCAAAUUAUACUGUAUGCAUCCUUUUGUGUCUGGAUUGCUUUUUUUUCUCUGCCUUACAUUGUUGAAUAUAUUCUAGGUAUGUUUUACUAAUUGCUUGGUUGUAUAUUAAUGCAUACUGCAUUUUGUUUAUCCAUUCAACUAUUGAUGGAAAUUGGAGUUGUUUUCAGUUUCUGGUUAUAAAUAAAACAGCUAUGAACAUUUACAU